rnacentral:ncRNA from 1 species
AGGAGCCGUAUGAGAUGAAAAAUCUCACGUACGGUUCUGGAACGGAGAAUUUUUGAAUCAAAUGACGACCGUAAC